CUGACAGCCCUGGAAAUUAAGUCCUCUAUUUCUCCACAGGAGAGGUAUAGCAAGGGCAGCAGCAAUGCAAGCUUCCCCACACUGUCCUGCCAAUGUUCCUCAACCCAGUUCUGAAGAGGUCACUUCUGGAGGUGAGUGGGUGGAUGAGUCUCUGUCCACGCAGUUAUUGCUGCC
ensembl:misc_RNA